UGUGAAUGUUACACACCUACAUGACUCAGCAAAAGACUGAUAUUAACUGAUACUCCUUUCUCUGAAAACAACAACAAUUUUGAUGAAAUCAAUACAUAUCAAUUAAUUAUUAUUGCAUUUAUAUUUAUGUUUUUGUUAUAUGUCAGUUUUUUUUUUUUAAUUUUCAUUUUUAUUUGUUUUUAUUUGUUCUUUAUUUGACUUUUGACUUCGGUAGAGAAACUACAAAGAAGGUCAUAAUUGUGUGUUUAUAGAAAUAUAGUCCACCAGCCAUUAUACUUAUAAUAUAAUGGAAAAAUGUCUCCCUUGGUAACAGUGUAUGCUACAUGUACAUGUAUAUUGAUUGAUAAGCUAUAUAUAUUGAUGCUUAUAUAGCAACACUAAAAAAAUUAUUCCGUUUGAAAUUCAAAGCUAUAAUUGUUAGACAUUUUACAUAUGACAUUUUCAUGACAUUGUAUUAAAAUGCAUGGAUGCAUAAUAAAACAAAAUCCUAAGGCUUAUAUCCU
rnacentral:misc_RNA from 1 species